ACAAUGCUGCAGUCAUCCAGGGUGGGAGGAUCCACUUCCAAAACGUCUCACUCACAUGACUAUUGGCAGAAAGCCUCAGUUCCUUGAAAAUGUGGACUUCUCUGCAGGCCUUCUGGAGUGUCCUCCUGACAGCAACUGGCCUUUCCCAGAGAGAGUGAUCCAACAGAGAGAGCAAGUAGGAUAUAGCUGCGCCUUUCAUGACAGCCUCAGAAGCCACAAAUCACCGUGUCUGCUAUGUUUUAUUCAUCAGAAGUGAGUCGCUGAGUCCAACCAUAUUCACAGGGAGGCAAAGUAAGCUCUACCUCUUAAAGGAAAGGAGUAUCCAAGAAUUUGUGGAUAUAUUUUAAAACGGCCACAGACCUCAGAUGGACAGAAUUCAACUCAUCACAUUUCUUGGUUCUUGACACGCUCUCCUCGUUAGUCCAUCACAUAUUGCACGGAUUCAUUCAUAUCGCUGCAUGUAGGCUGCUUUGACCUGCUGUAGAAUAUCUCAUUGUGUGGAUGCACAUGUGGAUCACUGAGUAUGUCAGAGCUGGCAAGAUACGUCAGAAGAGAAAGGAGAAACUCUUAACUAAAUAGAGUUGGAAAUAAAAUAAUUGUCUGUAUGGAAUAAGAUCAAAGGUCCCACAUGUUAAAGUCAACCCCAGAUGAAUUAAAGUCUUACAUGUCAAAAAAAAUUGAAACUUUUAGAAGAAAAUUAAGGUGGAUAUAUUUUAGACCUUAAGGUAGAGAAAGAUUUCUUAAAGAAGACACUUACAGGAUUGAUUACAAACAAAAAGACUGGUACAUUUGAAUGUAUUAUGUUAAGAACUUUUCCACCAAAAGAAAGCCUCGAUUUCCUCAUUUUUAAGAUGAGGAUAAUAAUCCCUACCUUAUAGAAUUCUAAUAAGAUGAAAUGAAGCAACAUAUACAAAAUACUUAGCACAGAUCCUAACACCUACAAAAUAAUAAAUGGUAACGAUUAUUAUUCUUCUCAAACAACAAUCCUAUUAUUUAUCAAAUAAUACUGAGUAAUAUGACAAGACAUAUUUAAACCACACAAGCCAUAUGCAGACAAGUGUUUAAUAUCAUAGUGAUAGUUUCAAGAGAGAGAUAAUAAUUUAUUCUACAUUUAUCAGAGGUCUAUAGCCCAGUAGUCAAUAAAUACUUAUCUAUAGUCAAUAAGUACUAUCAAGCAUCCAUGCCAGGAACCAUGCUAGGGGCUGAUUAAUUUACAUCAAUCACCAUGACUUUUUUCCCACAAACUAACACACACACAAUCUUCAUAGAUUUUUCUGUGAUCACAGCAAGGAAAAGACCUACGCAUGUUUGGAUCAUCUGUGUACAGUCCUACAGAAGAACUUUGACACUAUCAGAGACAGAAAUCUCAGAAUAGUCCAACUCUCACUUAUUUGUGCUAAUGAAAGAGUAAAGUAAAAGAGACAAUUAAAAUGGGAAAUGUGUUUUGUUUUGUUUUGGUGUUUUGUUUUACAAGUAUGCAAAAACCUCAAAUCAACCUGACCCAACAAUAAGGAAGCAAGUCAGAAAAAGGCAGUCUUCCAGAGCUGUUUGUUCAGCAGCUCAGUAAUGCCAUGAAGGUUUGCUUCCUUUCUCUGCUUUGUGUUUCUGGAGAGAGUCCGCAUACAUUUCAAUAUGGCUGACAGCAGUUCUGGAAUGUAUAAAGCCUUGCAUAAAGAAAAUGACAGUUCACUAUGAAAAUCUGAUUCGGAUGAUGUUGAAAAUAGAUUUAGUGUCUGCUCUGCCUCUCUGUUUUCUAGGACUUCACCACCUCACAGACUUUGUACACUCAUGGUUCACAACUUCCUCACUGUGUUUUCUUUAACGAGUAGAAGAUAAAUAAGCUUUAAGAAAUAGUAAAUUAUAUCAAAAUAGACUUUAUCAUAUAAUUUGCCUAAUUAUGUACCUUCAGUAAGUGUUUAUUGAACUCUGGGGUGUCAACAAUUUUUUAUUCAGCUCUCAUAAGUAAUAUUUGCUUAGAAAUCUACCCAUAAAUAGGAUAACAACUUUCAUAAAACAAGAAUUUAUACCUAGCUAACAUGAAAAAGCUAAACAUCCCUUGAAGUACAAUUCUCCUGAAAAUCAUCCCAAUAUGGUUUAUUGAGGCUGAUGGAUUUGGACACCAGCUCUUAAGAAAAAAGAUAAAGAGGAAAGCUACUGCCUGCCACAACAUAUUCUUUUUCCCAAGAGCUGGCUUCAGAAGGUGAACCCAGAGAGCAGGCUGUUUCUGUCCAUGGGAAAGCAGGAUGGUACAGCCCAUAUCUGAUUCAGAAACCAACAGUCAAACCAUUCUCCCCUGAGACUAAAGCAGAGAAUGAAGCCAUUUCCCAGAAAUUUGGGUAUUUAAAAAAUCACCCUGGCCUGGGUUACAGGGUAAUUGUCCCAUAUCUAUGUUUCACCUGCAGAUUCAUGGGACAGAAUUAUUUCCCAAAUCUAGCUCCAUGCUCCUGCCCUGACUUAAGUCAGGGAAUACUUGGUAUGUAGUAGCAUUUAUUAUUUCACGUUCAAAAUAUCUCAAAGCCUUGAAAACUGUAACGUAUUAAACGGAAAUUUGGUAGGCAUUGCUUCGCACAAUCCCAUGAUGCCAGCUUGCUAGCAUGGAUAUGCCCAGGGCACCCUACCAGAUGCUGGACACAAAAGCUCAACAUGGUAGUUCUUCCCUGCAAGGGUUCACAGCCCAGUGGAGGAGAUCGUCAGGUGAGUAAAUCAUCCUACUGUACAGCCACGAUGUGCAGAGGACUCAGAGGAGGGAGUGAAACUGCCACUCCCAGGCCCAUGUCUCAGACCAACCCUUCCCCUCCAGCCAGUUGUGUAGACUGCACCUCUUCUCUCCCUCCUCAGUGAAUACAGGCUAAGGAACGCAGGCUUCUCUUACCCAGGUUCCCUGAACUGCUUUUUUUAGCCCAUCUCAUCUUCUUCUGGUUUUGUUCAAUUUUCUGCCAGCUUUUUUAUCCGGCUCACUUAUCUCCCUUUAUCCCUCAGAACCAUCUCCAGUAAUUCCAUUGACUGGCAGGACAUUUUUCCAUCAGAGAGUAGAGCUGAGCUGCUGCAGUGCCACGGCCACCUCCCAGCAACAACCCCUCCGACCCCAGCAGACCCACUACCUGGCUCUUUCGGUCAGUGGGGACUUUUCAGAUGGUAUCUCUUUUAUUUUAGCUUUUUAAUUUCUGGCUGCCAGGCUUUCUUUUCUUAACUACGUUUGGAGCAGCAUUUUGCACAUCACAGAAGCCAUGCCAGUUUUAAGGUGAGUUAGGAUUCUGCAGGGGAAUCCCAUUAUUUUGAUUCCCUCAUCAAAGCAGGGCUAAGUUUAACCCCUUGCAAAUAUGAAAAUGAAAAGGACAGAGGAGUGUAUUGUCAUGGAAAAGGCACCAAAUUAGUCACCAGGGAACUGGACACAGGUCCCGGCCCCACAACUGACUCUGCCAUGGGAUUUUAGGCAAGACACCUCACCUUUCUGACUCCAAAAUAGUAUGCCUGUUAGUCUUCCUCAUGAUGAAGUUGGAAGAAUCAAAUAUAUUGACUGCUAUAAACAUACCUCAUAAACUGUAAAGCACUGUUCAGUCAACUUAAAGACCCAUGCCAAACCUAGGGACACUGGGCAGCAUGUCCUUCUGAAUAAGCACAUAAGCUCCAUGAGAGCAAGGAUUGGGUCACCUCUUGCUCGCUAUUUACUCCCAGUGCUUAGCACCUGGAAGGAAGGAAGGGAGGGAGGGACAGGGGGAGAAAAUUAUGCACCCAAGGGGUCUGAAAUGUUAGGUCCUUCCACAUGUUUGUGAAGCCCAUCACCUGCUGGUAGGAGUAAAAAUAUCUCAAACACAAUAAAUAUCUUUCCCGAAUUAGCAUCUAUGAAUUGAAUCCCAUUUGUGUGAGAAGUGAAAAGGCUGAAGUUUCCACUUUUCAAUCAACGGUAAAAGUCCUGACCUAAUGCAAUGUCGCAGAGACUGUUCGUUUGCACAAGCCAAUAUAAUAAUAGCAAUAGCUUACAUUUUUAUAGUUCUUUACAGUUUAUCAAGCAUUUUCAAGUAUCUGACCUCAUUCUGAUCUUCAAAAUCUCAUAUAAGUAGGUAGGGUAAAUUAACCCUGUUUUACAGAUGACGAAACUAGGGCUCGGAGGAGCGCAGAAACGUACACCAAAUCACGAGGCCUGUAAGUGGCAGAGCUGGGAUUUGGGCAGGUUCUCUUGGCACCUUGGCUUCUUCAGCUGCUAAUGAAGACAGUAAUGAUGAUGCUCCCAUUGUUAAGCUGACAGCUCUGGAGCCACCCAAACCAAUAUGAUUUCCUCUUUAUUUUGCUAGAAUUAUGGUUAUUCUGAAUCCCUGGAGAGUAGAGUAGGUCCUCUCCUCAUAAAAUAAGGACAAAAAAUUCUUUUCAGGAAAGGAAGGCUACACAGUUGGUCAAUAAUCACAUUUUUAAUGACUUCAUUAGUCAUCAAUCAAUUGAAACAGCAACAAUGAUGCAUCAUUUCCUCCUAUCAAAUUAGAAACAAUAAAAUUAAUGUUGAUAAGGAUGUAGUAAAACCAGUGUAUAUGUUCAAUGCUGGUGGCCUUGUAUACUGCUACAAACUUUUAGAAGCUACUUGGCCACAUGCCUCAAGAGCCAUGAAAUUGUUCACACUCUCUGAAGCAGUAAUCUUACAUCUGGGAAUCUAUCCUAAGGAAAUAAUGAACUAGAGAAAGAAAAAAAAAUACCUUCCUAGGGCCUGGUUGUUGAUUUCUCCCUUGGAUAGCAAUGAGAUAUCAUGGUAUCUUUUUCAUAAAUUUCCUAUUUGUUUAAGCUCAUUCCAGCUGGUUCCUGUUACCUGGCACCAGAACCAUCAUUACAAAAGCCCACAUACAGAGAGCUAAUAUAAAUAUUAAUAUCUUCCCUUCCCUUGCUUCAAACUUGACCUCAAUUGACAUUUCCAGCUUCACAGCCUGGUAUCCCAUCCCUCCAUACCCCCAUCAAUCUCAAAGCUCCGGUCAAGUCAAAUGUCUCACAGUUGACCAGACGGGCCAUGAAUCAGCAUGUUCUGAGCUUUAGUUAGGAUCAGAAUCACCUGGAAGGCUGGUUAAAACACACACCCUUGUGCACACACACACACACACACAAAACACACACACACACAUACACACACACCACACCUUUCACUGGCUUUGAGAACCACUGGUUUAAGCAACAGUCUACCUCUGGCAAAAUCAUCUAGUCCUUCAAGUCCCAGCUCCUCCCUGCUUUUUGCAGCCAUCUCCAAUCACACCAGACUGAACUAAUUACUUGUCCCCUGUGUUUCUUUGGGGCAAGAAAAGCACCUAUUACACUGUAUAAUGAGGGUUAAUUGUAUAAUGGAUGCCAGCUCCCUGCUUAUCAGGAGUAUCUGGAGGGCAGGCCCCUGGCUUCAUUGCCUCUGUGCCCCCAGAGCUAGCACAAUGCUUGGCACAGAGUAGCCAUAUGUGCAUGUACGACUGAAUUAUUCCUUGCUCCCUCCCUCUAUAGGAAGUUAUGGUUUAUUCCUGUUUCCACAGGAUCCAUUAGCAUAUUGAAUAGCUAUUUUUAAAAAACAAUGAUUAGCCAUGAUAGCAAAAGAAGAAACAUGAACAGAGCUUAUUCGUUUGCCAGGCUAGUAAAUAUCAUCUUGCUUUGCUUUCUAAACUCCUUAAUGAAAACAGUGGCUCUCAGGCAAAUAAAUAAAACAUUAGGUAGACAACACACAGCACAUCACAAGCACAGUCCACUAAUUUGCCUAUUGCUGAAGGACAUUAGCCACCUUUGAGAUAAUCUCCAUAAACAUACUGCCCCAUCUCCCUCUCUCAAACAUGAAUUGUAUCAAGCUAAAUUUUUAAUGUUUUUCAAUGUCUUAUAUAUAUUUCAUUUCAACAACAUUUUUUAAUAGUAAGAUAUCCAUCUUAAUCAAAUGAAAGCUGUUUUUCUGUAAUUGUCCUAAAAGCCAAUUCAUUUUCUGGAAAAACAUCUUCUUGAAUCACAAGUGGCCGGGCUAAACAGUGUUCUCAGAAUAUUAAUGUGAAACUUAAGCUAUUAACAUGUCAUGGUUAACCUUUCUAAAAGCUAAUUAAAUUAAAAUAAUAAUAUGUGGAAUGCUUUUACAGAAAGGUAAGGCUCUUUUACAAAGCACCUGUUCCAAGUCUCAGAGCUAACACCUUAUGAAGCCAUGGUGGGAAAAAGGUUUUGCAGGCAGACAAAGAAAGCCUGGCUUUGCACCUGCUGUGAUUAACUUUUAGUUGUUGGUAUUAGAGUUAAUUAUUGCAGCAUGCUGGAGGGCAGUGACAAUUUACUUGCCUGAUCAUACCUAAUAAGAUGUAUUUGCGGAUGCCAGCAUCUCCUGGACUUAAUCAACAAACUAUCAAGACAAUCAAUGCUGUUAGGCCCCAUGUCCUUGUGAUAGUUUUUUCCAAAUAAAAAAGAUAAAAAUCCAAGGAUGCAGUGCUAAGGAUAUAGGCAGGCUGCUUAGAAAGCCUCCGUUAGCUAGCGUCAGGCUUAUCUCCCUCCCUGAGUGGCUAGAUCUAUUAUGCAGGAGGGUUAGUGCACCCUAAGGCCCGAUUCAAUUGGGAGCAAAGUUCAAGGCAACCACACCAGGUACAAGGAAAUUAAGCUCUGAGAACUCCAGCACUUCUUGGUAACUGAGCUCUGGAAGGCUUCAAAUGGGCCCUUUCUACUUUAUCUUCUAUGGGAAAAGGUUGUUAUACCCAAGGCGCUAUACCCUCUUCCUGCUACACAAGGAGGGAGUUUCUGUUCCUUUAUUUGAUAAUCUAUGCUUGAAUCCAUGGAAUACAUUUUUAAAGGAAAGAAACUAGCUAUGACAUAAGACAGGUUGGCAAAUUCCAUAAAACAACAUGCUUUAGUUUCAACUCUGUUCCUUUUUAGGCCCCAACAAAUUAGCAAAACUCCUAUGAGAGGACUGGGGUCAUGUGUGGGCACACAAAAUAAGGAGGGUGCUACCACCUAGAGGGAUCUCAUACAGGUAAUGGAGAGGUGCAGGUGACAGCAAUCAGCAGCCUGGGGGCACUGAAAAUAGAACUAAGACUGUCUUUGACUCAUAAGUCAUCCAUCCUGAAUAAUGAAAGAAGACCAACAUUCAGCAUGAUCACCUAGAUCUCUAACGUCUUUUAUUCAUCCAUUCAUUCACUCAACACAUGUAUUUGUUGAAUUCCUCCUUCAUGCCAGGGACUGUGCUGAACAUGUUCCUGAUUUCACUAAAUGUGAGCUGUGCAAUCUUGAGCUCUAGCAGUUUGCACAAGGUCUAGCUGGAAAAAACUGCUUUAUGACAAUGUUGGGGAUCUUUGUUGACUCCCAGCCUUCCAAAAAUAUCAAUACCCCAGAUAUGACAAGUAUCAUUUCCAUUCACAUUCCAUUGGUGAGAACCAGUCAUGUGGUCACACCAACUGCCAGGGAGACUGGAAAAUGUAGUCUUCAUUCUAUGUUCAGCUAAAAUUCAGGGGUUCUGUUACCAUGUGAAAGAAGGGAAAAACCAAUAUUAAAUGUCUCUGCUUUUGUAAUAUAUUUUGUAAUAUAAGACACUACAAAAGAUGUAGUGUCUUAAUCACACUGAUGAGUCAAGAAUUCUGGGCAUCUCCAUAGACCAGAGAGAUGGAGGAAUGGCCAGGAGCCAAGAGCCAUGUAGGUAGAUUUCUCAAAUGGGAUCCAAGCCCACUUCAGGGCCAGGGCUUCAGAGUUAGAGACAGGUCUCUGGCCCUUAAAGAACUGACAGGUGAUCCAUGUUGGCAUCACCAUUCAUAAAAACUUCACAAAAGACAGUUCUCUGUCCUGUUUUGAAAUAAGUGGACCUUUUAAAGUAUCAGGGAAGAAAAACUUUUCUUCUAUCCUCUUAGGUUCAGUGAUUUGGGGGUCUAUGAAUAAAACCAACAAAAGACAGACUGGCAAAAGAAAAGACAAUGUUUAUUCAUGUAUGUACUUGGGAGCUCACAAAGAAAGUGGCUCAAAGAAGCUGUUAGAACUUGGAGCUUAUAUACCAUUUUAACAAGGAGAAGGGGUUAGGGUUUCAAGGGACAACAAAUGGUGGGAAAUGACUGAGAAAUAUAUAAAGAAACCAACGGAAGGCAAGUGAAGUGGUAAAUUUUAUGCGUCAACUUGACUGGGUCAAACGGUACCCAGAUAAUUGGUUGCAUGUUAUUUCUGGGUGUGUCUGUGAGGGUGUUUCCAGAUGAGAUUAGCAUUUGAAUCAGUGGACUCAGUAAAGCAGACUGCCCUUCCCAACAGGAGUGGGCACCAUGCAAUCCGGUGAAGGUCUGGAUCAAACAAAAAGGCAGAGGAAAGGAGAAUUUACUCUCUCUACCUGGCUACUUGAACUGAAUAUUCAUCUCCUGCCCGCAGACUAGGACUUACACCAUCAGCUCCUCUAGUUCUCAGGCCUUCAAAUUUAGGCUAGAGCCAUCAGUUCUCCUGGUGUUCAGGCCUUUGGGCUGUAUGGCAGAGGGACCUGACAGCCACAAUUGAAGCAUGGCCUAAGAGUGACCCUAUGGUCUAAGAAGAAUAUGUGUUCAGAGUCUCAAGCUAAGGAAUUCAGGAGUGGCCAAUGUAAAGACUCACUCCUUAUGUAUAAAGGACAUCUGAACCCCUGGCCUAUCCCUUGGAAUACAAGCUGUAUAAGGAAUUGAGGCCCUUUGUUUUGGGUUAAAUGGAGGUUGCUAGGUGAAGGUUGCUGGUUGGAGGGUGCUAAGUGAAAAUGCUAUAUAAACUGCAUGCUUUUUACAAAUGGUAGUGGUUCUCCUGUCCCGCCUACCACCACUGGACCAUCCCUGUAUGUAAAUCAUGCCAAUAAACCCUAUGUCUUGUUCUCUGUCUCUAGGUCUCUUCCUUGGCCUCUCAGACAUGUUGCCAUUUCUAUCAGAGCCAAUAAGAGUCUGGCAUGCCGUGGCCUCUGACUAGAACUAUACUACCAGCUAUCCCAGGCUGUAGCUUGCAGACAGCAGAUCAUGGGACUUCUCAGCCUCCACAAUCACAUCAAUCAAUUCCUUAUAGUACAAUAAGGCUUAUUUUAAUAAGGUGUGUUUAUGCAUCCAGUGUCAACUUCUCAUCUCUGGUGACAGGAGUCACCCCUUCUGCCUGGUACUUCCUUAAAGCAGGAUUCAUGAUAGCAGAAUUCUUUUGGAAGGUUCUGCUUUUAGGCAGAUGAGGGAGUGCAGAGAAAGGCUCUUCCUGAAUCUGUUGAUUCUCAAAUGCCUUUCACUCAAAAUAAUAUUUAUGUCAUGUGGCAUAUUCUGAUCCCUUCCUUGGUCACACCCAAAUUUUAUGGACUCAAAUACUUUGAAAGAAAAAAGAAAGGACGGAAAAAAGGAAAGAAGAAAGGAAAAACAGAAGGAAGAAAGGAAGGCACUGGCUAUGAUAAAACAUUUUUCAGGUGAUGUAUGAAUUUUAGAAAAAAAUACAUUUACAUACCCAAAACUAGGGCAUUAUUUUUAACCAAACAAUGUAAUGUAUGGAAAAGACAAGUUAAAUUCCACAUUCAAUUGGUAGGAUUUCAUAUUCAGUGUGAGCCAUUCUCUCCCUGUGCUGUGCUUGCUCCAAACAUAUUUCCACAGACUUGGAUAAUUUACCUUGAUUUUUGCUUAGUAUUGUAAAACGUCCCCAAAAUUUGAGAAAGCAUAGGAAAAAAACUUGUAGAAGCAAGUAAAACCAGAGAGGAAAGCCAUGACACAGGAAGAGAAGAUAUUACUGCCCACAAAGCAGCUGUUUGUCAACAAUCACAUUAGUGGUCUGGGAUCAUGAAGGAAUGUUUUAAGCAUUUUACACCCUAAUAUAAGUUUUUUAGUUACAUAUAGGCAUUUUUCUAUGUUUUCAGAAAUUGGCUAAGGAUUUGGGGUUGAUGCAUACCAUUUUGUAAUUUUUCCCAUUUCAAAUAAUAGGAAACAGCUCUGGUUAGCAUUUUUGUGCACAACAUCUGAUUUUAGGAGGGGAUGACUAAUAUUAAGUGGGAGGUGUCUGUAUUUUAGGAACUGGAUAGGAAAUUGUAUUCUCUUUACUUGCUCAACAUCCAUUUAACAAGCAUUUACCGAGUACUACAGUGAGCCAGGCAUUGUGCUGAGUGCUGAGCAGACAGCAGUGGAAAGUCUUCAUCCUUGGCUAAAAGGAUCUAGUCUAGUAAAUGAGACAGAGUGAGAGUUGUGAAAGGGGGCAUGGCAGGCACUAAUCCAGCUACAGGAGCCCAGGAGAGACUGAAACUAACUUUGCAAAAUCAUGGCAGUAAGAGAAAUCUAACAUAGUUGACUCCAUCCUGCUUCUAACCUCCAAGCUCUCCUUGGUCAUUCCUGAGCAUAGACCAACCAACUUCAGGAGCAAUUUAGUUUAUAGUUUAAUCUUAAAGCAAGAAUGAUAAUAGCCCUUCCCAAAACUAAACUGCCUUUGCAAAACUAAUGAAAGUCCUUCAUUCUGCUAAGAUGUAAGCAUAGUUAAAUGACAACUAGCUAUUGUUCUGGAGGUUACAACAUUUGUAACGUUUCCCAUUACUCCUGUAGAUAACAUAACUAUUGUAGAACCUACGAUUGGCUUUUUGAGAUGUCUUUUUAGAGUUCUGCAUUUCUGACUACUGGCUGACUCCACCUGGACCAGCAACUUGUGAUUCAACCGGUCCUGUGACCCCCUCCACCCAGAGGGGGCUCAGUGCAUAAGGACCAUUUUCCACACUCCUAUGAUUUCAUCCCCAACCAAUCAACAUUCCCCAUUCCCUAGCCCCUUGCCCACCAAACUAUCCUUGAAAACUAUCCUUGAAAACCUCUAGCCUCAGAGCCUUCAGGGAGACUGAUUUAAGUAAUAACUCUAUCUCCCACCUGGUUGGCCUCACGUCAAUUAAACUCUUUCUUUACUGCUAUACCAUUGUUUCGAGGAACUGGUUUUGUCUGUCAGCAAGCCAGAAGAACUCACAGGGCAAUUACAAGAUGAAUAAGAGUUACCGGGGUGAAAGUAGGGGACCAAGUACACUAGGCAGAGGGAGCAGCCUGUGCAAAAGCCCAGAGACAGAGAGCAAGGCAGCUGAAUCUGGCAUCACCAAGCCCCAGUGGAUGAGCAGUGCAGAUCCUCCCACUUACAACAUCCCCACUGGGCCCCAAGAAAGAGGCUGAAAUUUCCAGUUCCUCUCCAUAUCCUCUACCCACACACUCCUGACACUCAUCGUCUUCAUAGGCUACUUCAGGCACAAAACUGUGAAUGAGCUCUAAAAUGUGGUUUCCUCAUCUAUAAAAUGGGAUAAUAAAGUUUUAUCUUAUAGAGUUAUUGUAGGUAUUGAAUAGGUUGAUAUACAUAAAGCGCUUUUCACCAAUGUCUAGCACAUUUUCAGUGUUAUAUAUUAGCUAUUCAUUGUUAGCUAGAGGCCCUGAAAAUGUGUCGCAGUGAAGCCAGAGGUCCCUGAGGUCAGGCUGGGGAUAUCAAGUCCCAGGUUUUCUGCCCACCCACCUCCUCUUCCAAAUAAGGCAAAUGCACUUUUUUUUUUUUUUUUGGCCCACCAUUGUGCAGUAAAACUGCAUCCUACAUAGAUUUAACUUAAGCAAAUUCAAGAAUGCCCAGCUGGCUGGAUGAGACUGGGAGAAAAAUAACUUCAAUACUGCCAGUCCUACUCCAUUCUCUGAGAGCAAAUGCCCCAGGUGAACCUGGAGGAGAGGGAGAACAGGCACUCCCCUCCAGCCACAGUUUUCCCCACCUUUCCCCGGUCUAAGCAGCUUGACGUAUACUUUGUUAAAGGAUUUUCAAGCCUAAUUGUGACUACCUGCAAUUUUCACCCCACAAGCCGACUUUAAAACCUAACUCUUGCUAAAAAGAAGACACUCCAGCACCUCUGUCCGCUUAGCAUCAAGUAAAUUCCAAUCAAAUUAGAAAUCUUGAAGGCUUUCUGAGAGCUGGUCUUUACUUUAAACAGUUUAAAUCACCCCUAAGCUUAGCCUGAGGAGUAGGAUUAAAGCCUCCCUGAUGUGGAAAAAAACAAAAGAAGGAACUGUGAUUUACUGCCUAAGCCACCACCCUUAGCUUCCCCCACCACACUCUCCAGGUAAAAUCUGCUUCCGUUCUGCCUACUACCGUAGGCUAAAAAGAGAUCACCGGUCCUGAGACUCUAGUCACAUGGAUGCGCAGCAGGACAGGCACAGAGCUCCGCAGCUUGAAACAUAGAUGCUUGUAGCUCACAAGCCCACAAGUCCACCAGCCCGCCACAUCUCUUGAAGCUCAGGCAGGUACGUUCGCCCCGCUGGCUUUAAUUUCAAAAUCCAGCACAAUCACUGAAAAACUAGAGCGAUUUGCUCUUUCAGCUAUGCACAAUUUUCAUCAGCAGUCUCCAGUGGCUACAAUCUCAGGCAGGCUUUUACCACCUUUUCUCGUCCUCUCUAUACCAACACAUAUUCUGGAGAAAUGGUUUUUCUAAUGGCCUGUGGAGGUCUGCCUGUGUUUUGAGGCUUUGUCUGGGCACCAAGUCCAGCAGAUACAAUUCUCUUUCCUGAGUCAAGCAUUUAUAAAGAGCUGUGAUCUCAGAUUUCAGCUUGCUUCUGUCUUCCUUCUUACUCCUGAAAUCUGAUCAUCCCUUUUGUCUUUCUACCACAAUUAUAUAUUGAAAGAAAAACAUGAAGAUGCAAGAGUAUGCAGGGACAUGUGUAAGUGAUUCUCUGCAAGUGUUAAACACAGGGUGUAAUUACAGCUGGAAGGCAGUGCCUUGUGGGAGAAAAGACAAAAAAAGAGGUGGGGGGGGAUAUUCUUUAUAAAAUGUUCUUGUCUUUAUUUUUAAGCUUGAUGCUCACAUCUCACUUUCUAACACACACGGACAAAGAAUAUACUCAUGUACAAGCAAAAAUACUCAUAUAUGCACAUGUGCACAAACACACACAGACAAUGUAGUAUUUUAGAGACCCUUGGUCUUUUAUUCUUUUCAGCAAAUGAACAAUUAGCCUCAAUAGUCAAAUAAACAUCAGAAGAUGAGGGUUUUUCCCCCUUCCUCUGCUGUUACAAAAUAUAGCAACAAAGUGGGGCAAAGUAGCAUGAAACCUGAAGCAGCUCACACAGAAGGACUCAAGAGAAUAGGAUCUUCCAAAUGGAAGUUUCAGUUAGCUUCAGUGUUCUCAGAAUUGCAUCUCCUAAAUUUUGAUUCCAAAAGGGAAAUUCCCUAUGGCCCAGCAGGCCCAUACAAUCAAUUUUCCACAUUAUUUGUGUAAAUAUCUGUCCUGUUGCAUAUUCUGGAAGAAGUGACAGUUUCAAAAUGAGACUUGCCAACACACCCCCUUGUCCCAAACAAUAAGAAUCAGCAGAACAUCCCUAUCAGCCCUCUCAAUUUAUUCUUCAUCAGAAGCCAGUGGAAAAGGAAUUCAGCAAAGUGAGAUCCCCAACUGCACAAAGCACUAACCUAAUCACACCCAAAGGAAAAUGAGAGAAGAGUUUGACCUAGAGAGUCUUAAAUUAGUGGGCACACUCAGAGACUCAGGGGAAUUUUAGCUAGGCAAGCCACCAAUAAUUUAGAGAGAGGUGGCUCUAAUGAAGGGUCCAGGCUGCAGGGCAUGGUAGACAAUCUUUCAAGGCAAAGGCUCUGGGCCACGUGACCUGUCCAUGGCACAGUGGGUGUGUCAAGCACAGUGAAGUGUACAGAAGGUGUCUGACUUAUGCUGCUUUGAUGUACAAUUUUUCAGCUUUACAAUGGUGGAAAAGCAGUAUGUGUUCAGUAGAAACUGUACUUUGAGUACCUAUAAAACCAUUCUGCUUUUCACUUUCAGGAGAUAUUCAAUAAACUACAUGAGAUAUUCAACACUUUAUUAUAAAAUUAGCUUUGUGUUAGAUGAUUUUGCCCAACUGUAGGCUAAUGUAAGUGUUCCCAGCAUGUAUAAAGUAGGCAAGGCUAAGUUAUGAUAUUUGGUAGGUUAGGUGUAUUGAUUGCACUUCGACUUACAAUAUUUUCAACUCAUGAUGGGUUUAUCAGAUGUAACCCCUUCAUAAGCUGAUAUGGUUUGGCUGUGUACACCCAAAUCUCAUCUUGAAUUCCCACGUGUUGUGGGAGGGACCCAGUGGGAGAUGGUUGAAUCAUGGGAGCAGUUUCCCCCAUACUGUUCUCAUGGUAGUGAAUGAGUCUCACGAGAGCUGAUGGUUUGAUAAGGGGAAAUCUGUUUUGUUUGGCUCUCAUUCUCUCUCUUUGCCUGCUGCCAUCCAUGUAAGAUGUGACUUGUUCCUCCUUGCCUUCUGCCAUGAUUGUGAGGCUUCCUCAGCCAUAUGGAACUGUAAGUCCAAUUAAAUGUCUUUCUUUUGUAAAUUGCCCAGUUUUGGGUAUGUCUUUAUCAGCAGCGUGAAAAAGGACUAACACAUAUAAGCCAAGAAACACCUGUACAUGUGUUUCUUGCUUUAGAAAGCAGGAAGGCAAUUAGGCUUUAUUUUACAUGAAUCUACAAUGUUGGUGAAACCUGCUCUUCCAACAUCCUGCGGGCUCCUGGAAUGGACUCUGAUUAGGCAUAAAAUGAGGCAUAGCCACACACAAUGACUUUAUCUGGAAUACUGCUCACCUCCAUGUCCCUCCUACCCUGCAAGAAUGGGAAGUAGACUCAUUAGCAUCAUUUAAAAAUGGUCUCCUGGCUGGGUGCAGUGUCUCAUGCCUGUAACCCCAGCACUUUGGGAGGCCGAGGCAGGUGGAUCACGAGAUCAGGAGAUCGAGACCAUCCUGGCUAACACAGUGAAACCCUGUCUCUACUAAAAAUACAAGAAAUUAGCCAGGCAUGGUGGCGGGCACCUGUGGUCCCAGCUACUCAGGAGGCUGAGGCAGGAGAAUGGCGUGAACCCGGGAGGCGGAGAUUGCAGUGAGCCGAGAUUGCGCCACUGCAUUCCAGCCUGGGCGACAGAACGAGACUCCGUCUCAAAAGUAAAAAUAAAAAUAAAAAUGGUCUCCUUGCUUAUGUGUUCACUUGCUCUUUCCUCUCUUUCCUGGAGAGAUGAUAGCAAUUGC
rnacentral:lncRNA from 1 species